GUACUCACUUCAGCAACACAUACACUAAAAUUGGAAGGAUACAGAGAUUAGCAUGGCCUCUGCAUAAGGAUGACACGUGAAUUCAUGAACCAUUCCACAUUUUU